CUGCGAUAUCUACAAUGAAUUCUUCUGCUUUGGUGAUCCUGGUGGCAGUAUUGAUGGUUGCUGCAGUAGAGGCACAGAUACCAUGCGGACAUAACGCUUGCACUAACAACCAAUACUGCUUCUUUUUCACGUGUGUAAAUUACAUUGGAAGAGGUGGUUCAUGCACUUUUGGCAGAUGUGCUCCCGGACUACAAUGUCGCUUUGUGAACCUUCGUAAAACCUGUGUCUGAGCAGUCUAUGCGACAUUUUUCCGAUGUAUUCCUGGCAGUAGGUACAGAAUGCCAGGAUGAAAAAGCAGCACAAUGAUUGAACGCAAUUUUUAAAUGAAAAAAAAAAUGUUUUUCUGAAUUAAGUAUAUUGUAAAAUUCCCCCUCAAUAUUGCUAAUAAAUAGAUUACA